rnacentral:rRNA from 1 species
GACAGAGGCCCCGAGCGUUUAGGCGGAAUCACUGGGCUUAAAGCGUGUGUAGGCGGAUCGUUAAGUGUCUUGUGAAAUCCCACGGCUCACCCGUGGAACCGCUGGGCAUACUGGCGAUCUCGGGCCAUUCAGGGGCGACUGGAACAAGCGGUGGAGCGGUGAAAUGCGUAGAUAUCGGGAGGAACACCGGUGGCGAAGGCGGCCCCCUGGUUGGAUACUGACGCUGAGACGCGAAAGCGUGGGGAGCAAACAGG